CAACUUUCAGCAACGGAUCUCUUGGCUCUCGCAUCGAUGAAGAACGCAGCGAAAUGCGAUAAGUAAUGUGAAUUGCAGAAUUCAAGUGAAUCAUCGAAUCUUUGAACGCACCUUGCGCCCUUUGGCUAUUCCAGAGGGCAUGCCUGUUUGAGUAUCAUG
rnacentral:rRNA from 1 species